GAUGAACGCUAGCAGAACGCCUAACACAUGCAAGUCGAACGAAUAUUGAUUUUCGGAUUAAUAUUAGUGGCAAACGGCGAGUAACACGUAUCUAACCUGCCCUUGAGUGAGGCACAACUAUGGAGACAUAGCUAAUUCCUCAUACGUCCCGAUAAAUGAAAAUAAUCGGGAGAAAGAAUUUAUCGCUCAAGGAGGGGGUGCGGCCUAUCAGGUAGUUGGUGAGGUAAUGGCUCACCAAGCCUAUGACGGGUAGCCGGUCUGAGAGGAUGUCCGGCCGCAAUGGAGCUGAGAACGGUCCAUACUCCUACGGGAGGCAGCAGUGGGGGAAUAUUGGGACCAAAUGGGCGGAAAGACCUGAUCCAGCGAUUCUGCGUGAAGG
rnacentral:rRNA from 1 species